UACAGAGGUCCCAAGCGUUGUUCGGAUUCACUGGCGUAAAGGGUGCGUAGGCGGUCGGGUAAGUCUGAUGUGAAAUCUCACAGCUUAACUGUGAAACUGCAUUGGAUACUAUCCGGCUCGAGGAAUGGAGGGAGACUGGAAUACUUGGUGUAGCAGUGAAAUGCGUAGAUAUCAAGUGGAACACCAGUGGCGAAGGCGAGUCUCGUGGACAUUUCCUGACGCUGAGGCACGAAAGCCAGGGAGCAAACGGG
rnacentral:rRNA from 1 species